rnacentral:rRNA from 1 species
GAUGAACGCUGGCGGCGUGCCUAAUACAUGCAAGUCGAGCGAACAGACGAGGAGCUUGCUCCUCUGACGUUAGCGGCGGACGGGUGAGUAACACGUGGAUAACCUACCUAUAAGACUGGGAUAACUUCGGGAAACCGGAGCUAAUACCGGAUAAUAUAUUGAACCGCAUGGUUCAAUAGUGAAAUACGGUUUUGCUGUCACUUAUAGAUGGAUCCGCGCCGCAUUAGCUAGUUGGUAAGGUAACGGCUUACCAAGGCAACGAUGCGUAGCCGACCUGAGAGGGUGAUCAGCCACACUGGAACUGAGACACGGUCCAGACUCCUACGGGAGGCAGCAGUAGGGAAUCUUCCGCAAUGGGCGAAAGCCUGACGGAGCAACGCCGCGUGAGUGAUGAAGGUCUUCGGAUCGUAAACCUCUGUUAUUAGGGAAGAACAAAUGUGUAAGUAACUAUGCACGUCUUGACGGUACCUAAUCAGAAAGCAACGGCUAACUACGUG